CAAAAAAAAACUAGAAACGGCCCUGCAGAUAUGCUUUUGAUAUACGGCAGAGUACAGCCGUGGCUCGGUACAGACCAAGAGGGAACCAUGUGUGUGUGUGUGUGUGUGUCCUCGUUCAGACAUCUGACAGAGGAGCUUCCAUCCGGCGCGAUCAUUCACCUUGAUCGGCUGUUACCGUGGCAACCCCAAAUGCCGUCGGCUGUAGGUUAGUCGUGACGGGGUCGGUUGCCUCUGGUUACAGUUGCGUCUGUUAACAACACCGCCGUGGUUACCCGUAGUUACGGAUGAUUUGUAAUUUGGCCGGUGCCGCAUACAUAUAUAUAUAUAUAUAUAUCGUCCUGGUUGUAGCAGGGUUGUCAUGGAGAUACCUAGUCAGUUGUUAUGGUUGUCAUGGAGAUAGAGUAUGGAACCUCGGCUGUGAGGUUAGACUUUCACAUGGAGGGACAGGAGGAUACCUGGUCAGUUGUCAUGGAGAUAAUAAUGGGAACGGAGGAUACCUCGUCAGUUGUCAUGGAGAUACGGUAUUAUGGAACCUCGGCUAUGAGGUUAGACUUUCACAUGGAGGGACAGGAGGAUACCUAGUCAGUUGUCAUGGAGAUAAUAAUGGUGAAAGGAGGAUACCAAGUCAGUUGUCAUGGAGAUAAUAAUGGGAAAGGAGGAUACCUAGUCAGUUGUCAUGGAGAUAAUAAUGGGAAAGGGAGGGAUACCAAGUCAGUUGUCAUGGAGAUAAUAAUGGGAAAGGAGGGAUACCUAGUCAGUUGUCAUGGAGAUAAUAAUGGGAAAGGGGGGGAUACCUAGUCAGUUGUCAUGGAGAUAAUAAUGGGAAAGGAGGGAUACCUAGUCAGUUGUCAUGGAGAUAAUAAUGGGAAAGGGGGGAUACCAAGUCAGUUGUACAACUGAAUGAUGCAUUCAACUGAAAUAAGUCUUCCGCAUUUAACCCCCAACCCUUCUGAAUCAGCUUUAGCGUUUCGAGGGGGGGCUUUGGUCUGUUUUCCCUGAAGCUGGAGAGCCAGAGUUGGGGUUUUUACAGAGCUAGCCAGACUGACUACUAACUAGGGUUGAAACAUUUUCCGGGAAACUUUUCCUUAAUUCCCUGGUUGGAGGAUUCCCGAAUGUCCAGCUAAUUCCCGCCGUAAUUCCAGGGUUAGAAGUAUCCAGGAUUUCUGGAAAACCAGGGAAUUUUGGGGGAAGUUACCCGGAAUUUUGCAACCUUAAGAAAAACACAUGGAGAAGGUUUAUUAAUGGGCAGUUAUAGAGGACAGGAGGUUUAUUAACGGGCAGUUAUAGAGGACAGGAGGUUUAUUAACGGGCAGUUAUAGAGGACAGGAGGUUUAUUAAUGGGCAGUUAUAGAGGACAGGAGGUUUAUUAAUGGGCAGUUAUAGAGGACAGGAGGUUUAAUAAUGGGCAGUUAUAGAGGACAGGAGGUUUAUUAAUGGGCAGUUAUAGAGGACAGGAGGUUUAUUAAUGGGCAGUUAUAGAGGACAGGAGCUUUAUUAAUGGGCAGUUAUAGAGGACAGGAGGUUUAUUAAUGGGCAGUUAUAGAGGACAGGAGGUUUAUUAAUGGGCAGUUAUAGAGGACAGGAAGUUUAAUAAUGGGCAGUUAUAGAGGACAGGAGUUUAUUAAUGGGCAGUUAUAGAGGACAGGAGGUUUAAUAAUGGGCAGUUAUAGAGGACAGGAGGUUUAUUAAUGGGCAGUUAUAGAGGACAGGAAGUUUAAUAAUGGGCAGUUAUAGAGGACAGGAGGUUUAUUAAUGGGCAGUUAUAGAGGACAGGAGGUUUAUUAAUGGGCAGUUAUAGAGGACAGGAGGUUUAUUAAUGGGCAGUAGUAUAGGACAGGGGGUUUAUUAAUGGGCAGUUAUAGAGGACAGGAAGUUUAAUAAUGGGCAGUUAUAGAGGACAGGAGGUUUAUUAAUGGGCAGUUAUAGAGGACAGGAGGUUUAUUAAUGGGCAGUUAUAGAGGACAGGAGGUUUAUUAAUGGGCAGUAGUAUAGGACAGGGGGUUUAUUAACGGGCAGUUAUAGAGGACAGGAGGUUAUAGAGGACAGGAGGUUUAAUAACGGGCAGUUAUAGAGGACAGGAGGUUUAUUAAUGGGCAGUUAUAGAGGACAGGAGGUUUAUUAAUGGGCAGUUAUAGAGGACAGGAGGUUUAUUCAUGGGCAGUAGUAUAGAGGACAGGAGGUUUAAUAAUGGGCAGUUAUAGAGGACAGGAGGUUUAAUAAUGGGCAGUAGUAUAGAGGACAGGAGGUUUAUUAAUGGGCAGUAGUAUAGAGGACAGGAGGUUUAUUAAUGGGCAGUAGUAUAGAGGACAGGAGGUUUAUUAAUGGGCAGUUAUAGAGGACAGGAGGUUUAUUAAUGGGCAGUUAUAGAGGACAGGAGGUUUAUUAAUGGGCAGUUAUAGAGGACAGGAGGUUUAUUCAUGGGCAGUAGUAUAGAGGACAGGAGGUUUAUUCAUGGGCAGUAGUAUAGGGCAUAUAUCCUUGUGUUUCUGCCAAAACGUGCUGUGUAGAAAUAGAGCAGGGCUUCGAUGUAUUCCUUUUUUUUUUGUACGAUAGCGUUAAAUGUCUUUAACAACAACCAAUAUCUAUAUACCUAGCUAUAGAAAUAUACGUCAGUGUCAAAUGUUAAUAUACAGUAUGUCCUGUGAAACCAUGUGGUCAGUAUUGUAAACCAGCAUAUAUAUAUAUAUAUAUAUAUAUAUAUAUAGAGAGAGAGAGAGAGAGAGAGAGAGAGAGAGAGAGAGAGAGAGAGAGAGAGAGAGAGAGAGAGAGAGAGAGAGAGCAGAAUCUCUAAAACAGGACCUAGAGCCUCUAAACCAUUUGACUGGUAAGGCUCCAUGAUUUACACACCCGUAAUGGCUGCCAGUCCACCCAUUAUUGACUGGAUUGGGGAGGUCUGUUCUAUAGAUUCUAUUUCUACGGUUGUAUUUCUGUGAUGCUGCUGAUGAUCUCUGUGUCUCUCUGGACUGACUGAAGGAGUACCUUCCUGCAUGAUCUGUUUACUAGGAUUUAUUAAACAACCUGUAUAAUAAUGUACUAUUUAUUAGCAGUUAAACAGAGAGUUGGUCCAGUGUGUGUGCUUUUUGUAUAAUAUAUCUCUAGAAUAGUAUGCAAUACAACUGCUUUACAUGUGCCACAGUAUUUUACAGAAAAAAAUAUAUAUAUUCAAUAAAAUUGAAAAAAAUUA